GCCGCUUGCACGGGUCUGUGGCGCACCUUAUACACUGUUGAGCAAAGGACGAUGGAACGCUCUUCAUCUCCUGCCAUGGCACGUUCCUUGGCAAUCCUCGUUAUCAUAUUCAUAUGCUGCUCCCUGCCAUGCUCAACAGCCACACAAGUUCAUCUGGAUGGAAGCCGUCCGAGUGUUGGUCCUCCGUCGCCGCAGGGUGCGAACCCGCAUGGCUGCGUUGGUAGAUGCCAUAACGGGCGCCCAGACACCACAUCUCCGGCAACCGCAGCCCUUACACCGCACCGCAAGACCCUGCAGCAGGCUAUUCUAAAUUGAUGUGUGUAUAUAUGACACAUGCAAGUGUUCCGUGAGAGUUUUGGAAAGUUUAUCAUUGACUAUUACGUACACCUAUUGUCAAGGGUGUGUGAGCCACUGAUAUCUUACAAGUCCCACUGGCCGGAAAUAAUUAGGAAGAUGGUGUAUGACAAUAAAUAAAUAUCAGGAUGGUUGUACUGCUUUUAUAUAUACUUAAUUGUGAACCCUAAUUAGUCA